AUUUAAAUAGUUUAAGAAAAACAAUGAUUUGUGGUAUCAGAGUUAUAAAAAUUUAUUUUAAAUU
rnacentral:tRNA from 1 species